rnacentral:rRNA from 1 species
UACGUAGGGUGCGAGCGUUGUCCGGAAUUAUUGGGCGUAAAGGGCUCGUAGGCGGUUUGUCGCGUCGGGAGUGAAAACCAGGUGCUUAACACCUGGCUUGCUUUCGAUACGGGCAGACUAGAGGUAUGCAGGGGAGAACGGAAUUCCUGGUGUAGCGGUGAAAUGCGCAGAUAUCAGGAGGAACACCGGUGGCGAAGGCGGAUCUCUGGGCCUGUCCUGACGCUCAGGCGCGAAAGCUAGGGGAGCAAACAGG